AAGACUCUGGAAUCCAGAAUGAUUUUAUUAAACAAAGAACAGAAACAAAAAUGAAGUCCGGGGGUCCCAAAAUAUCUGAGGACCCCUAUAUAUACAUGUACACGUGGGUCGGGUCAGAUGACCCAAAGAAUGAAAGUGAAAUGGGGCUCAGACAUGAAUUGGGCUCGGUACAUACAAUAGGCCCAACAACACAUAAUCAUCACACCCCAUACCAUUGUAUACUAGAUGAUUAUAUACAUGUACACGUGGGUCGGGUCGGACGACCCAAUGAAUGAAGUGAAAUGGGGCUCAGACAUGAAUUGGGCUCAGUACAUACAAUUGGCCCAACAACACAUAAUCAUCACAGCCCAUACCAUUGUAUACCAGAUGAUAUAAUAAAUAUACACUGUAUAUACACUGUAUAUAAUCAUAUAAU
rnacentral:lncRNA from 1 species